rnacentral:lncRNA from 1 species
AUUGAUUAUAUUUUUGUGUUUGACAAGUCCUUCGGACUUGUGCCCACGUACCAACAUAAAAAUGAGGGAUCAAAACCUCGUAGUUCAUGGUAAAAAUUUCAAAGAAGUUUGUGAAUUGCUUUUAAUAAAAGUUUUAAUAAGAAAAAGGCGCAAAAGGCCCAAAAGUUGAAUGAAGUUGUUAGUUCUUUUUGUUUUUUUUUUUUGAAAUUUUAAGUCAAUAUGAUUAAAUUUAUUUACAAGUUUGAUUUAAGAAAAAGUUUGAAAAUUCAUUGGCAUAAGGC